rnacentral:rRNA from 1 species
AACGAACGCUGGCGGCAGGCUUAACACAUGCAAGUCGAACGGGCCCUUCGGGGUCAGUGGCAGACGGGUGAGUAACGCGUGGGAACGUGCCCUUCAGUUCGGGAUAACCCGGGGAAACUUGGGCUAAUACCGGAUACGUGCGAGAGCAGAAAGAUUUAUCGCUGAAGGAUCGGCCCGCGUCUGAUUAGCUGGUUGGUGGGGUAAUGGCCCACCAAGGCGACGAUCAAUAGCUGGUCUGAGAGGAUGAUCAGCCACAUUGGGACUGAGACACGGCCCAAACUCCUACGGGAGGCAGCAGUGGGGAAUAUUGGACAAUGGGCGCAAGCCUGAUCCAGCCAUGCCGCGUGAGUGAUGACGGCCUUAGGGUUGUAAAGCUCUUUCGCACGCGACGAUAAUGACGGUAGCGUGAGAAGAAGCCCCGGCUAACUUCGUGCCAGCCGCCGCAGUAA